GUGCUCACUUCAGCAGCACAUAUACUAAAAUUGGAAUGCUAAUAGAGAAGAUUAGCAUGGCCUCUUAAACAUGUAAUAAUAAUAAGGAAAAAAAUGACUAAGCUU